rnacentral:rRNA from 1 species
AAUGAACGUUGGCGGCGUGGAUUAGGCAUGCAAGUCGCGCGAUAAACGUAGCAAUACGUGGAAAGCGGCGAAAGGGAGAGUAAUGCAUGGUUAGCUACCCUCGGGUCUGGGAUAGCGGCGGGAAACUGCCGGUAAUACCAGAUGACAUCUUCGGAUCAAAGGUGUGAUUCCGCCCGAGGAGGUGACCGUGUCCUAUCAGCUUGUUGGCGGGGUAACGGCCCACCAAGGCAAAGACGGGUAUGGGGCGUGAGAGCGUGCCCCCACUCACUGGGACUGAGACACUGCCCAGACACCUACGGGUGGCUG